rnacentral:rRNA from 1 species
UACGGAGGAUCCAAGCGUUAUCCGGAAUCAUUGGGUUUAAAGGGUCCGUAGGCGGUUUAGUAAGUCAGUGGUGAAAGCCCAUCGCUCAACGGUGGAACGGCCAUUUGAUACUGCUAGACUUGAAUUAUUAGGAAGUAACUAGAAUAUGUAGUGUAGCGGUGAAAUGCUUAGAGAUUACAUGGAAUACCAAUUGCGAAGGCAGGU